ACCUAUGAAGUUCCAUAGCUUUGAUGAGAGAGACGGAGAGAUGGAGAGGAGAGAGGAGGAGAGAGGGAAGAAGAAAACAUCAGGGAGCGGACGUCUGAAAGCACUGCCAAUAAGGAAUCAAUGGAUGCUGCAGAUCCCAGGCCCGAACAAAAGAUGUCAGAGAAACAAACUGUUUUCUCCGGCAAGCCAGACAAUCGAUUCAAGGGGCCCCAUUGUUCUAAAAGGGAACCGACAAUGAAGCCACUCCCCAUGUCAAAGACCCAGACAACCCCUCGCCCACCGAGCUCCACCAUAGGACCUGCAGAGAACCUGCUCUCAGCUGCUCUGCCUUCCCACCACUAGAGGGAGUACCUCACAGGCCAGUGCUGCUGAGACCACCAGUCCCUGCCACAGAAGAAGAGUAGAGUAGCUCUGAGGAAACUGCCUGGCUGGUCCCUCUGUUAAGGAUUCAGCUCAACGAGCUUGUGUGGAGGAGGAAGGGGAGCAGUGCUGGUGAUACUGGGCUCUGUGGUGGGCUUGUGCCAAGAGCAGCUAUCGCCUCUUAGGUGGCUUGGAGGCCUGGCAGGAUCCUUGGUUCCAGACACCUGUGCUCAGAUAGAAAAGAAUGGAAAAUACAAAGCAGUCCACUCUACUCGAAAAAGAAAUGUUGUGCUUCAUAGGCUUUUCUGGUACAUAAGGACCUCUUAUUUAAUCAUUUAAUCAAGGAGAGAAGAUGACAAGGAGAGAAGAUGAUUUUAAAAAAAGAAGAAAAAAAGAGGUUAUAUUGACGAAAUGUUGGUGAUGUUGACUGGGACGCCUCGGAUGUCCUCUCCACGGUUUGCUCUGUUUCUAUCUCUACAUUCCAGAAUGGAAAGGCCCUCCCUACGUUUCUGAAUGCCAACUUCUCGCUCUCAGUUCGUCUUCACCUUACUUUCUCUCCACUUGCGAUGCGGUAACCAAGUGUACUAUAGUGGAUUUAGGAAUUUGGAAUGCAUGGAACUUUAUAUCCAAGACCUCACACUGUUCGCCAUUUCAACCACAGAGGCCAUAAGACAUUGGUAACAUGAAUAAUGAGAUGGAUACAAUACUAAAGGUCUGAGAGAUUUUUUGGGAAAUGAUGUCCAAGAAGGAUCAACAGCGGGUCUGGCCACGAGAUAGGAGGACGGUAGUAAGGUUUAGGUGGCUUACUAAGAGCUGGAAGAAGCUGGAUAGUUUUUUAGCCAUUACAAAGCCAUUAAGACAACAUUUACACAACACUGGUGGAACCAUGUUUUUUUCUCAAUCAGCCCACAAUUUGUGGGUCUUAAAUGUUUGAUGUUGUUGUUCUUGUUUAUUUUUCUACUACAGUUAUUUUGUUGUUCAUAGCAACAUCGCCUUAAUCAUUCCAUCGUUUGUUUAUUUGAAGAGUAAAGUGACAUAUUUUUUUACCCAGGUUUGUUUACCCAUAAAGCUUAUUUUCAUUGCACUUUUUUAACGUAAUAAUAAUGUCAGCUGAAACUCUGACUGUGAGAUUAAUUUGUAUUUUUGAGAUUAUAUUUUGAUUCACUUUAUGUUUGUAUUUAUUUAUAUAUUAUUUAUUUUUUCAUUUCAUAUUAUGGUGUUAAUACCAUCCAUGGAGCUAUUUAUGUAUUUAUUUAUUGUUUUCAAUAACAAAAAGCAAUAGUGUGCGUAGGGAAGGCAGUAAAGAGCACAAUCUUGUGUCAUUUCAACUAGUGGUCAGGAAUGUGUUGCCUCUUGUUUGUAUAUUUGAACUGUGCAAUGUUCUGCUAUCACAUCAACAGGGCCCUAAAGCAGAGUUUGGUACCGUCCGCAUACAGCUCGUCAUAUCAGCCAAUGAUUAGACAAGCCUAGUUUUAUCAGCCAAUCGGGACGGGAUGAGGAAGCACUGUAAGACAGCAGAGAGGCACUGUACACAGAAUAGUGUGUGUGUCAUCACCAUGGGAUUUGACUUGAAAAUAGCUUCAACCUCUGUUUGCGAUUGUCACCUCUGGCUUUUAGUUUGAGUCUGUUGCCUUUUAGUUUUAUUUCAUGCUGGCACCUGAACCGUGAACCGCAACGUUCUAUUGGAUAGCUGUCAUGGAAACUUCUCAGGUCAGUGUACUUCCUGCUGUUGUUUGCAGUGCAUCGUGGGAAACUGGGUCUGGUACUAAAAUGCUCUGGAGGCCCUACACGCUCCUGCUGUACAGUGUGUCUCUCUCUGUGAAGGCCGGGAUCUACGCAUGCCCCGGGGAACCUCACAGUCUUUUGUUCCCUUUCCUGAUGUCUGUUUGUACGUACUGUAGGUACAGUAUGUAUGUGUGUGUGAGUACUGUGUAUGUGUGUAUUCAACUCAUCAUCCAAUGACAAAAAAGGAAUAUAAUAAUGAUAACAGUAAUAAUGUUAAAAACAACCGCGUUUCAAAAGAAACCUCCCAUCUCCAACGUUCUAUGCAAUGAAUCAUGCGAAUAAGAAUGAUUGAAAAGGGACGACAGCCAACUGGAUAAACCACAACCAUUGUUUAUCAAGCCUGAGGCCACAUAAGGUUGUUUUAGC